UGGUCCUACGGGGGGCAGCAGUGAGGAAUAUUGGUCAAUGGGCUUACGCCUGAACCAGCCAAGUCGCGUGAGUGAAGAAGUAAUUCGUUAUGUAAAGCUCUAUCAGCAGGGAAGAAAAUGACGGUACCUGAGUAAGAAGCCCCGGCUAACUACGUGCCAGCAGCCGCGGUAAUACGUAGGGGGCAAGCGUUAUCCGGAUUUACUGGGUGUAAAGGGAGCGUAGACGGCAGUGCAAGUCUGGAGUGAAAGGCGGGGGCUCAACCCCCGGACUGCUCUGGAAACUGAACGGCUGGAGUGCAG
rnacentral:rRNA from 1 species